rnacentral:lncRNA from 1 species
AGGAAUGAUGUGCUAGUAAACUACCUGUUAAAGUUUUGAUGGGUGCUAUGUGCCUGUUGAACUAAUUAUAAUUAAAUGAUUGAAGUAUUUUGGCAUGUGUCUGGAGUGUAUUCUGCAUUUCUUGAUGCCCUCUUGAGUUAUUGUAUUGCCAGGUCCAUUUCUUUCUUCAUGUAUGAGCUUGGUACUAAUGAAUGAUGACUUGUAUGUGGGAUAUCAAAACUGGAAUGUGAUGAGAACUACUGGUGGUUCAUGUAUCUAUAUCUUUGUAUUUGUGGGAACAAUGGGUGUUACACAAAGUCGGUGGUGUUUGGCUGCAAAGCAACCCUGGUACUGGGCAGCUCUAUCCAACCCUACGCGCUCAAAGUCAAUGAUGUUUGGGGUUCUUGUGUGCUGAUCUUAGCUAAUAAAUAUUAAAAAAUUGCUAACAGAGUUGAAAACAGACAAUGGUAGCUUGAAAAUCUGUCUGCGAAGUAUACAUUUGUUCUAGGAAGUAUUUACAUUUUGUGAUAAUAUAUGAUCCCUAAUUCUAUAUAACCAUGUUAGUGGCAGAGGCAAUUGAUACCUCACAUGCCUAUCUGAAACAACCUAUAUGCAGCUUGUCCUUUCUCACUGUAGUAGAAUAAUUUUAAUGAGUGCUCUUAUAUCAUCAUGUUGCAUAUUGUUAGAUGCCUAGAGUUCAGUGAUAUUGGUAUUGAGCCAAAUAUCAUCGCAUUUGGUGGAAUUGUGUGAAUCAGUGAGAGUUUAGGCUGUAAGCAUGUAUGUCUACACUACUUCUCCUAGUUGCAGUCUAUAUAUUUUCCCUGUGUCUCUGAAAGCCAUGUUGAUAAAUCUCCUCUGAAUAAGAUGCCUCAGCUCCUAGUUGAGUAGAAACUCCUAAUUUGGUUGCAAAGAGUUAGAGAAAUUGAUUUUGUGAUAUAUUUUCCAUUAUUAUUUAUAUUCUCUUGCAUUUUGGUUUUUCCAAUCAAGUAGAGAUAACAUGUUGAAGCUAUUACUAUUUCUUAUAGCACAUUCUUAUUUCUCUGAAGCUAUUUCUCUAUCCAUGGAUGUUUACAUGAGUUUGCUUUUUAUUUCAAAGCCAAGAUUUGUUCUUCUCUUCUUUGCUUUAAUAUAUGCCAGAUUUGGUGUGUGAAUUUUCUAGUUCGGCUAUUGGUAUGAUCUAUCUUGUCCAUCCAAGUCUCCCUGUCCACCUAUCCAAAUUAAUGAGUUCAUGUGCUGCUAGUCUUGAAACUUGACCUGACUUAUUGUUUCAUAUAUUGCAGACUGGUUUGGAGCAGUUGAAAGAAAUUUUCAAGAACUACAAGAAUCAGGCAAAUAAGAAGCUUGAUGACAUGGCCAAGAAGCUUGAAAAAAUUAAACGGAGGGCCAAAAAGCUACUUGAAGCAUUAGACAAGAGGUAGGUUAACAAGUUGGUUGACAAACUGUUUAGUUUGGUCUGUACAUAAAUUAGAUAAUCCAUGCUGGAACCUCUAGUGCUAGAGUGGAAUAGAUGCUUUUGUAAUGCAAGAAGUGCUAGAUUAAUUGUUGCUCACGAUGUAUUGUUCUUGUAAUAUAUUAUGAGACUUCCACACAAGGGCUUCACUUGACCGAUACCUUACCAGAUUUGUUUCCAUCGUUUAUACCUUACCAGAUUUGUUUCCAUUUUUUAUAUGUGAACGUGGAUUUCAGUUUUUGCUUGGGCCAUUCUGUUUGUUUGUACGAAUUGGACCAUAUGUUGCAGAAAGUGGUCAUCUAUGUUUCCAAUUGAGCAACUGCUUCAACUCCAGGAAGACCAUGUCGAAAAGAAUCCAAUGCCAACAGAGACAAAAAGUCAUCCAAAGAUCCUGGUAAGCAGCGCAGCGAUUGCGCGUUCAACCCCAGGAUUCCUAUUAAGCCAUCAUGUUGAUAAGUCUCCUCCAGAUCUGAAUAAUUAGCGGCAAUAACAUCAUAUUUCAUGCAACCACUUAUUUUUUGUUGCUAUAUAGAUAAAUGUAUCGCAACGCACAUACGAAUUAAGACAACACACCAAAUUUGUGGCAAUACUGUUUACGACUUGCAACCAUUUUGAAUUUAGUGGCAAUAAGCCUUGCAUAUUGCAACAAAAAAAAGCUUUAUAACAAUGCAAAAUAAUUGUGGCAAAUUUUACAGCGACUUCCAACCAUUUUUCAACUGGUGGUGAUAACAACUAUCUAUUGCAACAUAUUUUCUAUUGUUGCCAUGGGCUCUGUGGCAACGUGAUAAAUUAGUGGCAAUAUUGCUUACUACUUGCAACAAUAUUGUAUUUCAUGGCAAUAACCCUUAUAUAUUGCCAAAAAAAAUCAUUAUAAUAACACAAAGCACAUGUCGCAACAGAAUUAGCUAUUUGCCACCAAUUUUCAAAUGGUUGCGACAACAUCAAUCUUUUGCAACGGAAUUCCACAAUGGUGGCAAUAACACCUAUCUAUCGCAUCCAAAUUUGAAUUGUUGCAAUGGGCUCUGUCGGUGUUUUAGACUGGCAACCCACCUAGGGGGUACCCUAGGUGGUCUUUUGUGCGGUGGGUGUCAUCGAGAAUCAAGGAGUCGAUCCUGACAUACGGAACACAAUUUAGACAGGUUCGGGCCGCUAGAUCUCGUAAUACCCUACGUCCUGUGUGUUGAUUGUAUUGAACUUAGAUGAUCUGUUUGGAGGGGGUUCCUGCCCGCCCUUAUAUGAUCGGGGGAGUAGGGUUACAGGGUAGAAACCUUGUCAGGUACGGUUACAGAGUCCUACUUGGUCUAGAUAGAGUAGUUUCCAUAUAUAUUCCAUCUAGUCUUUAGGAGUCCGAGUGGGCCACGCUUCCCUGCCACGUAGCCCCCAAGCCCUGAUCUCAUUCAAGUACGCCCCUGAGUGGGCCAUACAGGGCCUACUCGUGAGCCUGGGGAUGUAUGCCCGACAAGCCCCCGAGUACUUUGUAGUCGAGUGGAAUAGGUCCGAGUACUCAGAAGUCGUUAUCCGAGUAAAUCCUGGUGCUUUGUUGUGAUGUCUUCGAGUACUGAGUACUGUCACGUGGCUAGAAGGUACUCUUCAUCUGUUGUUGCUUCGAGUUACUUUUUCCUUGGAGAUUAUAUGGUAGUGCGAUGACUAUCGCACUCCAUAUAGAGUAGCCCCCGAGCCUUAGGUUGAAUCGAAGAAUCAGGCUGAGGGUCAAUCCUGUGUUUUUGCUUUAGUAGUCUUCAGAAAAAAGAAAACUUUGUCCAGCGGAUAUGGUAUCUGCAGCUCCCGAGCACUUAGGCGGUUAUUUGUAGUCGAUGAAGUGGUCAAACCUCUUGGUCAGAGUAUCCGUUGGGAAUUAUGGUGAUAAAUCUGAUUUAUUUCUGACCGUUGCUUAAUUGACGCUUGGAAUCUGGAGGUGAUGGAGAUAUAACAGGGUGGGCCCAGUAUGUUCUUUUUUAGCAGAUCUAUUUUGUGUGCUUCUUUCCUGUUCAUCUUUCUGCUGCCGUCCUUUCUUGUGCCGCUGCCACCAUUGUUGCUCUCUUCUUGCCCUUGAGUGAGAUCCGCUGCCGAUCCUUCUCUUUUUUACUUUUCCCGAGGCUGACUGAUGCAUGUCAAAAAGAUAGGUAAGAAACUGAAGAAAACCCAAGGGCAAGCUGCGGCCGCCAGUAAGGUGAGAUCCAAAUCCAAAAAGGGGAAAGAGCUCGUGCUGCUGGCACCGAAGUGUGGCCUGACAAAUCAGACUGCACCGCCGCUGCCUGGGAUCAUCUGGCAGCACUCCGUGAUGAGGGAACCAGCGGUCCAGGCUUUGGUUGAUGCUAAGCUUCUUCAAUCAAAGCUUGAACUCGAGUGGAGGCCUGCUUUUGGCAAUGCGUGGUAGUUUGAGGAGCAUCCGAAGGAGACUUUCAUGCUUGCACACUUUGUCAAUAGAGGACUGGCAGUGCCCACUUCCAAAUUUUUCAAAGGUAUUCUCGGGUACUAUAAUCUUCAGUUAGUUCACCUGAACCCCAAUGGCGUGCUCCAUAUGGCUAUCUUUGUCCAUUUGUUUGAAGUAUACCUGGGUGCCCCUCCUAGUCUUGAGCUUUUUAGAAAGUUUUUUCAUUGUAAGCCGCAGGCCAGUGCAUCUGGGACGGAGGUUUUUGGAGGGGCCGAGUUUCAGCUUAGGAACUUGAGUGCUUAUCUCGAGUAUGUUUUGCCUGACUCUCAUGGCGACUGGAAAAAGAGAUGGUUUUAUAUUGGAAACCAUGAUCCUAUCUUACUAGUAGUCACUGGACACGCUCCAAAGCAUGCGGAGAAUUGGGUAAGCGAGCCUGAGGACACCCCUGAAAUUGCUAACUUGUUGACUCAGAUUGCUGAGUUGAGAUUGUUGGGCUUGACUGGCAUCAAUGUGGCUGCUAGUUUUCUUAAGCGGAGGGUUCAUCCUUUGCAGCAACGAGCUCGCUCAGGCUCGAAGUACUCGGGUUUUGAUGACCCGUCACGGAUGUCCCCUGAUGAGGCAGAGCUCAAGAGAAAAGAGGCUGCUGUGAGUAGCCAGCUUCUUGACUGGAGGAAUGCUCAUGACCGGGUAGCUGAUGAGGCUGACCGUCUCCGGGCAUCACUAGCUGAAGCUCAGGCUGCAUGUGAGCAUUAGAGGGAUAGAAAAAAUCAAAACGGAGUUAUGCUUGCUAUGACCAUGGUGGCCUGUAGAGAUCAUGGUAGGACCAUAGGAAGGCUUCGAGGUGAGCUCCAAGAAUUGACUAGUGCUGCGCAGGACGUAGUUAAUGUCAUCGCUCCGCUUGAAGAUGAUGCUGAGCCUCGCUCACUAGUCGAGCGGCUGAAGACUGCUCCGGGUAAGGUUGCUGGCCUUUGCAAGGCUGUUUGCAAACAAGUCCUUGCAGUGGUCAAGUCAUAUUACCUGAGGGCAGAUUUGAUGGCGGUUGGUGACGGUGUUGCUGGAAACUGCACAAAGGAUGCUUAUUGCUUUAUCUCGAGGAGGCUGAGCCGAUCGCUUCGAAGAUGUCUGAAUUUGUAUCUUUGGAAGAGCCUUAGGCGUGUAUAGCCUUCGAGUUGUAACUUGCCGAGUACUUUGUUGUUGUAUUUGAGACAAUUUCUGAAUUUUAUUUGAAGUUUGAUGAAUGAUCUUGUCUUUGGCUAAUCUUUGUAGUUGGGGGGAGCAAGUCCGAGUUUUAGCCGAGUAGUCGCAUUGUCUGCUGCAGACGUCAAUUAUUGGUGUUGCUGUUCGAAAGUACUCUGACGUUUUCUGCACUUUUAAGAGGAGUGCACGGGCGACCUGUUCACUUUUGUUUUUUGCGGUUGAAUGCCUUCACGUGAGUGGGUCAGAAAGCGUCUCGUUGACUCUUGUCAGUGAUUUAAGGCUUGUCGUCAUGAGCAGACAGUAACUUCCGAGUAGGUAGUGGUUGUGGCGUUUGGCUAUAAAUACACCACCGGGGGGGUCGACCAAGGCCAUGCUUCUCCGGAGUAGCAAUGGAUUGCUUUAUAUUGCUGUUAUUUGGUUGUAGAAAACUUUCAAAGAGUGCCCUGGUGCUAGAAGAUUCCUCGUAGAUUAGAGCCACCUUUCCUGCACAUACUCUUGUGCUCGUAGGGGUAGCCGCGAUGCUAGAAGAAUCCUCGUAGGAGGGUUUAUCGCGUGCCUCAUCUUGCAGCUUGUAAUCCAGCUAAGUCUGUGCUAGAACUCGCGAGUGAUGGGUGAUGGGUGCCGCGGUCUUUAUCCGGCUCUCUUAUUAGAGAUGGAGGUGUGGCGUGCAGUGUGGGACGGUGCGCUGAAGCUAGCAAGGGAGCAUUCUUGGUUCUUUUUCUCCUUUAUGCUGCGCCGGGGAUUCAUCAUUGCCGCUGUCGAGGGAGCGGCAGUAAAGGAAUUCCUGGUGUUGUUUGGGAGGACGACCAGGAUAUGGCUGCGUACUGCGCAGCUUCCUUGCAUGCAGGCCCUGCCUUUUGAUACUGCUUACACCUUGGUGUUCUAGUAGUCGCCAGGCCUGUGUAUCCUUGUGAUACAGUAAAAGCCCGAGGCUUGUGUGUAGACUACCAGUAGGCAGUUGCUUGUAGUCUUUGUUGUGCUGUUUUAUUGUAUUUUGAGUACCCUGGAUCUGUUCUGAGUAAUCGUAUGUAACUUCAAAAAAUUAUCCCAUUCAAAGCAAUCUUGAGUUUAUUUGAUGAUUGCGUCGGUCUUGCUUGAGUAAAAAAUGACUAAAUGAUGCAGUCGUGGUUUUUGCGAAAACUGCUUUUCUUCUGAAGUUGAGAACUCGUACUGAAGCUUUAGUGCCUGUAGGUACUUCUAGGGAUUGUUGAUGAAUCGGAGACUUGAUGAAAGCAAGUCGUUGGUCGAGAGUAGAGCGUGGGGGCUCGCAGUCGGAGAGCUCGAGUAGCUGUGAAUAGCCCAUAGUGACUUGUAGGGAUUUUGAUGAAAUCAAGUCGGAGAUCGGAGCAUUGGAGCUCAUCAGGCUGGAGGCCCCGAGUGGCCCAGAAUAGGGGUUUGUUUGAAAAACUUGGGGCGAAGGCCCGAGUACAUGCUCUGUAGUCUACUACGGGUAGUAGCGACAAAGAUGUUCUAUAUUCUAGGAAUUUGGUAUUUGUUCACCUGAGAGUUCUCGUAGUCUGUAUGUUCGGGGUCCUGUGACCUUGGAUACGAUGUAGGGACCUUCCCAUGGCGAGUUGAGCUUGUGCAACCCUGAUGUGUCCUGGAUUCGUUUGAGGACCAUGUCGCCUAAGUUGAAGGAUCGCUCUUUAAUAUUGCGGUCGUGGUAGCGUCUUAACCCGUCGAUGUAUCUGCCUGAUUGAAUUAGGGCUGCACAUCUUGUUUCUUCCAGACUAUUCCUUCAUCAUAUUGUUCGACUGCAGGAGACUGCCACAUGACAUCUGCGGGGAGGAUAGCUUCUGAUCCAUAUACAAGAAAAUAGGGGGAGAACCCAGUAGACUUGCAUGGUUGGGUUCGUAGUCCCCACAGGACAUUAGGUAGUUCUUUGAGCAAUUUGCCUCCUCUUGUGUUGCCGAUGUCGUGUAGCCUUUUCUUGAGUGCUUCGAGUAUCAUGCUGUUGGCACGCUCAACUUGUCCAUUGGCCCUUGGGUGAGCAACCGAGACAUAUCGUACGUCAAUUCCACUAUUCUCGCAAUAUUCCCAAAAAUCAUGGUUGUUGAAGUUGGAUCCUAGGUCGGUGAUUAUCCUGUUUGGGAAACCGUAGCGAUGUACAAUUUCAUCCAGGAAGUCGAGGACUCGAUCUGCCUUGGGGCAAGUGAUGGGUUUGAUUUUGAUCCAUUUGGUGAAUUUGUCGAUGGCUAUGAGAACUCGAUUGAAGCCUCCUGGCGCAAUUGGUAGUGGUCCUAUCAUAUCUAGCCCCCAGCAAGUGAAAGGCCAUGUUGGAGGGAUUGUGAUGAGUUUGUAGGUGGGGACGUGUUGCUGCUUAGUGAAGAACUAGCAGCCUUGGCAUUUGCGGACCAAUUGUUUUACAUCGGCCAAUGCCAUGGGCCAGUAAAAGCCUACUCUGAAAACUUUGCCUAUGAUUGUUCGUGAAGAGGCGUGAUUACCACAGAUUCCUUUGUGUAUUUCUUCUAAGAUUUCUUGGCCUUCUUCUCGGGUAACACAUUUCAUGAGUACCCCUGAUGAUGCGCUUUUCUUGUAGAGCUUGUCCCCGACUAGAACGUAGUUUUUUCCUCGUCACGAAAUUUGCUCAGCUUGAUUUUUAUCAGAUGGCAACUUAUGAUCUUUGAUGUAGUCAACGAAAGGUGAUCUCCAGUCGAUUUCUAUCAUCAUGAGCUCCUGAUUGGUUUUGGUAGGUUUGAUGACUAGUGGUGUGAUUUGUUUUGGUAUGGAUGGCUUAUGGAGCUCGUGUACAAAAAUUCCUGCUGGAACUUCUGCACGAGUUGAGUUCAUUUUUGAUAAUACGUUAGCAGCUACGUUGUUGUCACGGACAAUAUGAUGAAAUUCGAAGCCUGAGAACUUGUUUUCUAGUUUGUGGACUUCUUUGCAGUAAGCGUCCAUGUUUUCCUUGUUUCGAUCCCACUCGUCAUUGACUUGGUUAAUGACGACUAGCAAAUCGCCGUAUACUAGUAGUCGUUUGAUUCCAAGGGAGAUUACAAGACAAAGACCGUGUAGCAGCACUUUGUAUUCGGCUUCAUUGUUUGAGACUUCCCAAAUGAUUUGAAGGACGUAUUUGAGUUGUUCUCCUUUUGGGGAAAUCAAGAGUACUCCUGCGCCAGCUCCUUCAAGCUUGAGGGAAUCAUCGAAGUACAUGAACCAGUGCUCUGGCCUCUUAACUGGUGUUGGUACUUGAUUUUCCAUCCAUUCAGCCAUGAUGUCGACCAAAGCUUGAGAUUUGAUAGCUGUUCUUGGUACUUGGUUUGAAGUCUAAGGAUAGGGCUCCGAGCUCUACUGCCCAUUUUGAAAUUCUACCCGUUGCAUCCCUGUUGUGAAGGAUUUCGCCAAGCGGGAAGUCGGUGAUGAUUGUUAUGCUGUGUUCUUGAAAGUAAUGUCGCAGCUUUCGUGAAGUGAGCAGAAUUGCGUAGAGCAGCUUUUGUAUUGGUGGCUACCGAGUUUUGGAGUCUGAGGUUACUUCACUGACGAAGUAAACAAGUCUCUGGACUUUAUAAGUGUGACCUGCUUCAGACCGUUCGACUACUACUGCGGUGCUGACGACGUGAGUGGUAGCAGCUAUGUAUAGGAGCAAGUCUUUAUUUGGGGAUGGAGCAGUGAGGAUUGGUGGUUUUGACAGAAAGUCCUUGAGUUGUGUCAAGGCUUUGUCUACCUCUUCUGUCCAUUGAAACUUAUCCUGACGUUUGAGAAGCUUGAAGAACGGUAGUCCGUGUUCUCCAAGUCUCGAGAUGAACCGAUUAAGGGUUGCCAUGCAGCCUGUGAGUUUUUGCACAUCCUUGAUGCCAGCUGGUGCUUGCAUAUUUGUGCUGGCAGAUAUUUUCUCCAGGUUGGCCUCAAUGCCGCGGUGGCUAAUGAUGAACCCGAGUAGUUUGCCAGAAGGUACACCAAAAAUGCAUUUGGUAGAGUUAAGUUUCCAGCGGAAAGCUCGCAGGCUUGAGAAGGUUUCCUCCAAAUCGGUGAUUAGAUCUUCCUAUUUUCUUGUUUUGACGACUACGUCGUCCAUGUAAGCUUCUAUGUUGCGGUGUAAUUGCUUCUCGAAGCACAUCUGUAUAGCGCACUCAUAAGUUGCGCUUGCAAUUUUUUAACCCAAAUGACAUUGUUUUGUAGCAGAAUGCCCCAAACGGAGUGAUGAAGGCUGUUUUGGCUUGGUCUUCUUCUUUGAGGCUUAUUUUGUGGUAACCUGAAUAGCAGUCAAGACAGCAGAGUAAAUCGUACCCGGCAGUAGAAUCGACUACCUGGUCGAUCUAGGGUAGUCCAAAAGAGUCCUUUGGAGAAUGUUUGUUGAGAUCCGUGUAGUCGACGCACAUUCUCCAUUUGUUGUUUUUCUUGCGGACGAGUACAUUGUUGGCUAACCAAUCAGGGUGAAAAACUUCUUUGAUGAACCCUGCUGCAAGUAGUUUGGCAAGCUCUUUUUUAAUUGCUUCCCUUUUGUCUUGGGCGAACCUCCACAGGCGUUGUCGUUUUGGGGUAGCUUUGGGAUCAACAUUUAGUGAAUGCUCAAUCAGUUCCUUGGGCACACCAGGCAUGUCGGCUGGCUUCCAGGCGAAGAUAUCAUGGUUAGCCCAAAGAAAACUAAUGAGCGCGGUUUCCUAUUUGGGAUCUAGCCCUAUUCCAAUCAGAGCUGUCUUAGAAGAGUCGCUAGUCUGGAGAUCAACUAUUUUGAAAUCUCUCUCACUUGCUGGCUUUGCUUUUGUUGGCCCUGAUUUGUUUUCUAGGAUUUCGAGUUCUGUCGGAUGAAGUUUCUUUGAAGCUGAGAGAACUUGUUGCAUAGGGCUAGGCGCUUGAGAAGAUGUUGCGAUCUCCAUGGCUUCGGUGUCGCAUUCGUAGGAUCGCCUUAGGUCUCCUUGUAGCAUUAAUUCUCCCUUGGGUCCUGGCAUCUUGAGUAAUAAGAAGAUGUAAUGUGGUAUAGCCAUAAACUUGGCCAGAGCUGGUCUCCCGAGUAUGGCAUGGUAAGAGGUUUCGAAGUCGGCGACUUCAAAUCUGAUGUACUCGGUUUGGUAAUGUUCCUUUGUGGCGAAAGUUUUUGGUAGGAUGACUUGGCCUAAUGGUAUGGCUGCAUUUCUUGGUACAAUCCCGUAAAAUGGUGAGUCCGUUGGAGUGAGCAUGUCUGUGAUGUCAGGACACAUUUUUCUUAGUGUUUUGGUGAAGAUGACGUUGAGUCCGCUUCCACCAUCGAUGAGUACUUUGGUCAAUCUUGAGCCUGCGAUAACAGGAUCGAGUACUAGGGGGAAUCUGCCUGAUUCUGAGAAACUUGUCCAUUGAUCCCUUCUGCUGAAGGUUAUGGGUACCUCAGACCAUUUUUGUGGUGUGGGAGCAGCUGGCUCGAUGGCCAUAAUUUCUGUGAGUACCAGCUUGCUGGAUCGUUUGGAUGCGGUACUCGGGAUUCCACCAAAAAUAACGUUGACUGUUUUGGAGGCGGUCUGGAAGUCUCCCUCGCCUUCUUCAUCCUUAUCGAUUUUAUUUUUGCCCUUAUCCUUUUUAUGAUUAUAUUCUUCUGGAGGUGGUGGUGCGGGUAAAUCUUGCAUUACUCGGCCCAUGCUGUAGCAAUCUAUCGCUGAAUGUUUGUUGUUUGGGUGCCAUGGGCAUUGUUUCUUGAGUAGUUCGAUGAAGGUGGGUCCUUCAUCGCGUUUGCGAGAUCCUUUCUUUCCUGAGUUGGUCAUAGAAGCAACAGUGUUGUCAAGCUUGCGUUUGCGGUUUGAGUUACUCGAGUAGUUAUUUCGAGUAUCGGUAUUCCAGUUCCUGUCUUGCUCAUGACUGUUAUUGUCGCGCCUGUGGUUGCGAUGGGAGCCGAAUCGCUCACCCUCUUUAUGUUCUUCGUCUGCCCAUUGUUGUACCAUGACUUUGAGAUCCUUGAUAGUGAUCGAUCGUCAUCUGCCAAAGUCUUGGUAUGUUCGACGAUCGUAGAGGCCAUUUUGAAAGCACUCGAUGAUGUCUGUUUCUGAAAUGUCGACUAUAGUAGCCUUUUCUCGAAGAAUCGACGCAGGUAGUCAUAGUGUCUCACCUUUUUUUUGUUUUACUUGACUUAGGUCAAUCUUGUUGCUUGGUUGGGUCAUGGAGCCCGUGUAGUUGUUGGUGAAAGCUUUUGUCAAAUCUUCCCAAGAGUCAAUUGUUCUAGGUUUUAGUGACUCAAGCCACGUUAGAGGUGCGGGUUCCAUGCAUAUGGGAAAAUGGAUGACCUUUGUGUCAUCGUUGCCUCCGGCUACCUAAACUGCCAACGAGUAACACCGGAGCCAUUGGACUGGGUCCUGCUUGCCAUCAUACUUAGUGAUUCCUAUUGGUUUGAAUUUUUUAGGUAACCUUAUCCUCAUUACCCGCGUAGUGAAAGCAGGGAAAUGGUUAUAAUUGUCGACUUCGCGUUUGCGUUUGCGACGACUAUUGAUUAUUUCCUGUAGAUCGCUGAAAUUUGAUACUUCGUGAUUUUUUCUGCCAUGGCGAGGACUUUUUGCAGAGUUGGUGCAGCUGGCAUCUCCGACGUCUUUAUGUCAUAUUGGGGCCUUGCGUUUGCUUUGUCCUUGGCUAUGUUGCCUUGGUUGGUUGUCUACUUCAUUGUUGUUUCUUUGAGCUUCGUGAUGGCCAUUGUUGGCUGCGGCACCCCUGCUGCCCUCUCGAUGGGCCGAGUUGUGAGGAACAGAUGGGAUUGGUGAUUCUUUAUCGAGUAGUUUGUAAGCUUGUUCUGCGAGUUGUGCGAUUAGUCCAUUGCCUCUCUACGCGAGUUGAGCUGUUAAUUCAUUAUCUCUGUCGUGAGGUAUGAGAGUUGAUAUGAGAUUGAUUGAGGCGAUUGCUGCGAGUGGAGUGUUGUGUUCUUGGGCUUGUAUUGCGUCGAAUGAUCUUUCAAGGUUCAUGAUAGGGAUGUUUGUGGCUAGCAGUUGUCGACGCUCAGCCCGAGUAAUAUUUCGUGCCCUUCUUUGGUUUCUUUGCUUGGAAGUUUCGUCUUGCGGGGCGUUAGCCGAUGACUCAUCCUCUGAAACAUUAUUGGGCUGUGCUAUCUGUCGAGGUGUUCUCUUUUGGCUAGUACCCACAUUAUUGUUUUGAGUGAUGACAAAAAUUUCUCUGUCUGGGUAGUAGCUUCCAGAGCUUGAUGUUGCAAUUUCUGUAGUGCUUUUCUCGCGGUUUGAAGUGAGCGGGACGCCUUCUUGAUAUGACAGGUUGUCUGUGUGAGCGACAAGGCGCGACUCGUAGUCAUGGGCAAGGAAAGAUGGCUUCAUCCCUGGCCAGUUAAUGAAUCUGCUGUGUGGAGUUGAGGUAACUACCAGACCUUGCGCUGGACCUAAUAAUGGAAUUUCUUGGACGUAGCCCGAGUCGAGGUUGCAGUCCAUAUCCUCCCGGUGUUCGAGUUGGGUUCGAGUAAGGAGACCUUGGUAGACUUCGGCUGUGUUGCGGAGUCCGUACGGGUAUCGUCUCUGAGUCGAAGUCGACUUGCGAGGUGACUGGGGCUUUAGCUUGUGCCGACUAGUCCGAGUUGAGGUCGAGUCGGAGCCGUAGUCGAACUCGGUGUUGUUGACUUUGAAAACUUGGUUUUCCUCGACGAAAUCUUCCAUCUCUUGCUGAAGAAAGCUUUCGUCGAGAGGUUCCUUCUCCUGGAUGCUGAUGAUGUGGUGCUGAAAUGAUCCAGCACCGUCGGCGAUGCAAAGCCAGGAUCCGAAAACAAAGGUUGCGCCUGCCUCAAAGGUGAAAGCAAGCUUGAUAAUGAUAGAUGCCAUCGAACUUGCAUGGAGAAACUCGGUGACGACCCCUACCUGGCGCGCCAGCUGUCGGUGUUUGAGACCGGCAACCCACCUAGGGGGUACCCUAGGCGGUCUUUUGUGCGGUGGGUGUUGUCGAGAAUCAAGGAGUCGAUGGUGAUGUAAGGAACACAAUUUAGACAGGUUCGGGCUGCUAGAUUGCGUAGUACCCUACGUCCUGUGUGUUGAUUGUAUUGAACUUAGAUGAUCUGUUUGGAGGGGGUCCCUGCCCACCCUUAUAUGAUCGGGGGAGCAGGGUUACAGGGUAGAAACCUAGUUGGGUAUGGUUAUAGAGUCCUACUCGGUCUAGAUAGAAUAGUUUUCUUAUAUAUUCCAACUAGUCUUUAGGAGUCCGAGUGGGCCAUGCUUCCCUGCCGCGUAGCCCCCGAGCCCUAAUCUCAUCCGAGUACGCCCCUGAGUGGGCCGUACAGGGCCUACUCGUGAGCCUGGGGAUGUAUGCCUAAUAGACUCUAUGGAAAUAGGCCAAAAAUCUACUAGUGCAACCACUUCCCCUCCCUCAUCAUUUCGCUUUCUUGGAACCGCAACCCCUGCCUCAUCCAUAACUUCCCCCUUCUCUAUCUAUUAGGAGUCCUCCAUUGUUCACCCUCUACCUUCUUAUUUGGCAGUCAAGUCAAUCUCUGCUCAAUCAUGGAUCCUUCCUAAGAAAAUCUUAUGCCAGAUCUUAUUGUGAGCAUCACUAAUAAGAUCAGUGAUGCAAGAGAUUUCAUCAGGUUCAAAGUAAUCUGUAAGAGUGAACUACACUCGUUCAGGUGAGGCAUGCCUGUUUGACCCUUGGAUUCUAAAAUCCAAAGAUAUCGGUGAAUCUAGUGCAGUGACAUUCGCAUCCGUCAUGGAUUACUAGCUUUUUGAUGUCACCUUUCUAGCAUUAGCUGGGAAAAGGACUACGUUGAUUUGUUGCGAAGAAUCUGGAUGCCUAGUCGCAGUACACAGCAAUGGGAGCACCGUGAUCCUGUUGAAUCCUUUGUCUCAUCGGGAGCACAUUAUCCUUUCUCGACUUCCAACAUAGUGCCAUAUGGCUGCUCUUGAUGCUUGUAUCAUGGGCUUGGAAACACCUACUAGCGCAGCUCUUCUGAACACUUGCAGAUCUACUUGGGGCAUCCUCUUCCAGAACCUCCUCAAGCCGUUGGACUCCAGUUAUCAUGGGUCCUUGACAUGAGCAACUCUUCUCUACUCCAAGGUCAAGACCAAUUGUUCUUUGUUGUUCAGGAGGAGAGGAUGCACAACGAGUAGAGAGAUGUUGAGGUGGUGGAAUUUACUCUGCAUUCAUUCAUCAGUGACAUCUAGCAGCCUAUUCCCUAGGAGAUAGCUCCAGAGUUCCAGAAUAAGAUCAUCCUGUUUGGACCUGGCAAGUGCAUUGUUGUACAAGAGCAUGCAUGUAACAUCACACUUUUUAGAGCAUUUAAAUAUACAGGCCUUUUAAAAUUUUCUUUAAAUUAAGUCCAUUUUUCAUCUUCCCGAAUAUUCAAAACUAAUUUCACAAACAAAUCUUGCAUUAAACCAACAUAUGCGUUGCACUAAAUUGCCUCCCUUAGGAAACCCACCUUUUUGAAACUAACUCUCUAGAAACUAGAAAUAGAACCUCCAAGAAUCUUUUUUCUUUCUUCUCCAAAGCCUAGAACUAAUAUUCAAAUUAAAUUUGAAUAUUAAUUCCAUAAGGUUCCUAUCCAAUCCUAGUCCUAUCCCAACAUCUUCAAAUUUAGAUCCCCCUACCAAAGUUGUAAUAACUAUUCCAAGCCCCACUCUAAAACCUAUUCAAAUUUGAAAUCCUUUUCAAAUUUGAGUUCAAACUCCAAUUCACUUAAAAGAAAAACGUUCUAAUCUUGCCAUGGGCUGCCAACCCCAAAAUUGGCUCGCUCACUCUUCCAGCCCAGCCUGCCUCCGUUCCUCCCUUCCUGGCAUGCACACUCGCUUCGGCCUGCUCACGCGCCCGCCUCUUGUGGCUCAGCAGCGCACCACGGCCCAGCUCGCAUCCCUGCGCUAGCCCACCACACCGGCCUGGCUUGCCCCAGCUUCUCCUCCUCUGCACUCACCAGCGUCGCCGUUGGUGGGGAGGAAUUCCCCCGCCGCCACCAUGUGUGACCAUAGGCCUCUACCAAGCCACCACGCUGCAAUUACCGUGCCGCCAGUUGCAAUCACCACACCACCGCCGGAUAGGUGGAGCCCCCGGCCAUGUGCCACCUCCCUCCCCCCCCCCCCCCCCGCGUGCUUCCCCUUCCCUUAUAUCCUCUGUGCUUGGGACACUAAACCCUGCCCGGCCGCCGUUGUGCCACGCCGACACCCUACCACAUGUGCUGCGUUUCUUCACCACCAAGACACCCAGGUGCACGCACCUUCUGCCCUGCCUCUCCUCUACGCCGGCAGCAGGCUACCUCACUUCCUCCAGCCGAUCCAAUCUGCCCGGCCGUGCACCCUCUCCCGCUCCUCUCUGCUCUAACCAGCACAUGCACACCUGCUAGAACCGUCUAGCCCCUCCUCUUGCUUAACCUCGAAGGUGAGCUUGGAGUCAAUGCUCUCGGCCAAUUCGAGCCGCCUACCAGGCCAUCUCCUCCGCCCCUAACAAGCGCAGCACCGCCCACGGCCACCUCAUCUGCCUGCCACCAUUAAUACUGCCACCCUUAUCUCCUCGCCGUGCAUGUCCCCCUUGGCCACCAAGCAGCCCGGCUCUACGUGGCAAGCAUACGUGCUCCCUCGCCGCCUAUAAAAGGAGACAGAGCCCCUCUUGUCGGGGAUAGAUCCCGAGUACCGCAAGGAAGGAAGAAGAUGAACUCCUACUAGGAUUUUCUUGUAAUCCUACUAGGACUCAUACCAUGUAAUCCUAGUAGGACUCCUCCUUGUAACAGACUAGUAAUCCCGCCCCCUGAGUGUUGGCGCUGAAAAUCGGCCGAUGACCCUCAGUGUCGGACACAUGACCCGGGUGAAUCUGCUUAACUCCUAUUUGGGUUAUUACCCUGGUGCGGUUUGCGUGGCGUGCCAGUCAAUCUGACCUGUUGAUUGACAAGGAAUAAAAGUAUUAAAUUCUAGGGGCUUCAAUUGGCUAAAUUUCCGAUCUGUCUUGAAAAGCGUAUUAGCGAAUCGGCCGAUUUACUAUAGAGAUGACCGGCUAUAAACAGCUGAUAUCCGUGUAGCAAUUCUGAGAAAAACAACUAGGGCAACCUAGACAACACUACAAAGGCAACACUUGGAAUAGAUCUAAUUGGCUAUUGUGAUGAUAAAGAAAAAUAAUAAUGAAAAGCCGACAAUUCGUGUCUCAAGCUGGAUAACUGGUGAUAAAACUAGAGCAAUAAAUAAAACCUAUAAUUCUAGUUAAUAUUGAUAACUGGUGAAUAAAUCUAAAUGAAACAACAGCGAUGCACCCGAAGUUAAAGAUUAGAUAUUACUCGAUAAGCGGAACUUACAGAUUUUCUAGAGAUCAUGUCGAUGCAACCCUGCCAACUCGUACAAACUCGUGAAAAGAAAAGGUUUUGGCGAAGUCACCGACUUGAAAGUAAAGUACGAGGAAAGAGUAGAUUUGUUGUAUUGAUUGAUUGAUGUUUACAAGCCUCACAAGGCAGCUAUUUAUACCCUGUUGCAACCAAUCUCUUAACCGACUAGGAUCUAUCUCUAAUUUUAAACGAUAACAAAUAUUUAUAAACACAACUCGUAUCGGAGUUGGUUACUAUCUCCCCAUGGGCCAAUCUCCUUUUUUCAGCUAAUCUUCAUCUUGGCCCACCUCAGGCCCAUACCGGCCAAGCCAUCCCGAUUCCCAAUCGGCCAGCCUCUAUCAACUCCCUCUGCCAGUUGGCCGAAACAUUGUAGCUUUAAUCAGCCAAUUCCCAACUGUAGCUUCUAGCCGCCGCACCGGCUGCCUUUCUUCUUCUUUGACGCCGAUUCCAAACACGUGUCAAAAUCCGGCGUCAACACAUGCCCCCCAGUUUCGGAGUAAAACACAACUUUUGCUUCGAAACCUUUUCAACUCUAACUCCUUCCCCAAAGAAAACGCAACAGUAAGCAUGACGAAAGCUCUUUUUCGCUCCGCAGUCUUCUCUCUGAUGAUCGCAGUUUUUUUUUAACGAAGCGCUUGCAGGCAACCGCUAUCCCCAAAAUUCAUGUAGACGGUGCGGUAAAAAUCCUGCCUUUACCCUUCUCUCGAACCGUCCUUAAAUAUUCGCAUCCUCCACCGCUUCUUCUCACAAACUCAGAAGCCUUCCUUCUCCGGCGAAUCACCUCCCGUCGCAUUCCGGCACCCUUUCAACUUCCAGCUGCAUCCCUUCGGUGAUUCUCCCUUCAUCUUCUGAUCAUCUCACUCUGGUUCAUUCCAAUGGCGAUCCCAUCAGCGACCAUGGCCUUCAUCCAAGAGGUAAAUACCCCAAUUUUUUUCCCUUUUCACCUUUUUACCAUUUCACGCAUUUUUUUAGAUCUGUUCUUAGCUUUCUCUUUAUAUCCUUCUUAGGAGCUUAGGCAGAGGAUCACCAUCCCUAUCUGUAACGCACCCGGCCUCAUCGGCCAUGGCCCCAUGGGGAAUCCAGAUCCCACUGAAUUGAUCAACUUGGAAACCCACAGGAUCCCCUUCAAGCAAUCAGUCAUGGAUCUAAACCACUGGACAAGCGCAUUUAGGUCUUGGCCGAACGAAACCCCUAGCUGGAGGGAAUGGUUUCAGAGAAUGUCAAACUCCAAGAGAGUUCUUUGGGACAAAAUGAAAAUCGUCCACUGCAUAAACUUGUCCUUAUCUCAACUGGAGAGGAAUGAUUCUUUGGUCAUCGCGGCGUCUUACUUCUGGUCUGACGCACUCAAUGCAUUCCUCUUCGGCCACGGGCCCAUGACCCCUAAUUUGGCUGAUGUCCUGAUGCUAACCGGCCUUGACGUCUCCUCUCGUGACUCACCCUUUGAUUUCCUGGUCAAGCCCACUCAUCGUCUGGAAAUAAAAGGAAUUGGCGGGUGGAAGGGCUUUAUUGAGAAAAAUAUGAAGACUGGGCCUAUCGAUGGCAGAGAGUACACAUCUUUUCUGAUGAUGUGGCUAGAGAAGCACUUCUUUUGCGACAAAGCAGUUGGCCCUUCUUCCAACACACAAGCUCUGGCCGAGGCCCUAGCAAGAGGCUCUACUGUCCCUUUGGGAAAACACCUGCUAGGAUCAAUUUACUAUAUGGUGCACCAGAUUGCUAUCAAGCUGUCAUCCGGAGAGCCGAUUGGGAACUCUGGUGGUCCCUAGUGGUUUAUUACCCUCUAGCUUAAUUUAUACAUGAGCAAGGUCUCUAGGGAACGAGUCGAGACCAAGACGUUCCCCAAUAUUGAAUCAGAGGAUGACCCAACAUCAAGACGGCGUUGCACCUCCUUUGGUGAGGCAGUGUCAGCUUUUCCUAGCAGCAGAUUCACCCCGACAAAAACAGCUGAGUACUUUAGAUGUUUCUACAUAGGCUUUAGUGAAGAAACCACAAGCUGGUAUCCAUAUCAGAGAGAUGAACCACUCUUUGAAAACCCUGACUGCUUUGACUCAACCAGCAGCUCUUUUGAGAACGAGCUCAUGGACAUUUUGAUCAAGCCUGGGAUUCUUCCAGGAAAGUUCUUCUCGGGAAAGGACUCCCCAACUUAUGAGUUUUACAACCCAUCAGUGGCAACUCGGCAAUUUGGCCUAGGGCAGACGCUGAUUAAAAUUUACUUUGUCAGCCGUGUGAAGUUUCGAGAAUGGUUUUCAAGAGGAUUUGAAUACAAUCGGCUGUGCAACUUGAUGCCAGAUUCCAGCACCAUCGACUUGACCAAUUGGGUAGUAGCACCCUUCUCCGUCCAACAAUUCAAGUUAUGGUGGGGCGAAUGGAAACAACACCUUUUUUGUGCAUCUUCUGCAUCAUAUUGCAACGAGCUGGAUCCCAUUAAUAUUGAUCCAAACGCCAAGGUAAUACCCUUUCUCAGCCAAUUUCUCACUGUUUUUCCCUAGGGUCGUCGCUGACCUCCCUUCUUUGUGUAGUCCAAAAGCCAGCCUCCUCCAACGCGCAGCCGAAGCGAUAGGUUGAUAGAAAGUCACCACCCGUAUACUUCAUUUCCAAUCAUCAGCUUUCACUCUCCGUCGAUGGAAGACAUAGUCACUGGCUGAUUGAAGCAAAAGCUAAAAAUAUCUUCUUCAAAGAAAACAAGCCGUCGGGUGCGCGCCCGCACGGAAUCGGCUGCUCAAUCGGCACUGCCAGCCGAGCCCUCAACUACACCGACUCUUCCAGUCAUUCAGGAGGUUGACCCCCAAACAGCCUCAGAAGUCGGAUCGGCGGCUGCAUCCUUAUUAGUAGAAGCUGUCCAGGUAAUCUUACAUGUUGCAAUCCUUCUAAGUAUACUAUCAUCACUUUAACUUGGCUCCUUAUCAGGUUGCACAAAUCCUCCCGGAGCAAACUUCUCAUCAAACAGCCGCACCUCAAGCAGGGACCGAGUCACCAGUGGUCCUUCCAAUCGUGGUAAGGAAUAUACCUUUUAUUUAUUUUUUUCAAUCUUCAAUUAAAACUGACUGACUCCUUGGCAUAGACAACUCUGGGUACAUCAAUCGUACCUUUCCAACAGCCACCGGCCGCGCAAUUUGCAGAGGUAAGACAACUGACACCCAUUUCUAGAUCCAUUCACCCCCAUGCACUCAUAGAGACUUGUCCUAUCAUACUUUAGGAGGCUGGUCCAAGCACCGCACCAAUCAUCGUCGAAUCCUCUUCCUUUGACGAGCCGGCCGCGCUGAUUCCCGAGCCAAGGAUAACAUUCCCACCAGCGCAGGCAGAAGAAAUCUAUUGUAACGAGGUAAAGACCUUCACUAUUUAAACCAGCUGAUUUCCUACUACUGUUGGCUAAUCCAUAUCUUCCUUUUUACUUUCUUAGGAGCAAGACACGGCCAACAACAGCCUCUUUUCAUUUGUCGUUGCCGUCUCUGAUGAUGAAGAUGUUGCCUCUUGUUAGGUGGCUUUGGGUUCAAUUCCUGAAGAAAUUCGUGCUAAGCUCCAGAGCAUCCGAACCCUCCUUCAGGAUGACAUCGGCCGAUUGGUAGAAGACAUCUCGCCGAUGCGGUAGAUCUUCAACGAAAUAAAAGGUCGAGUCCCAGAGGACGCAGAAGAAACUCUUGCACCCGCGGCAUAUAUCGAUUCAAUGCAGAUCCUGGUGUUCAGAGCCCUGCGGCAUAUGGCCGAUCGUGCCAAGCUGGCAAAGGCGUGCGAAGAGGAAGAAUCCUACAAGCACCGAGCUCAAGAGGUACAUCAUCGAAUCGGUGCACUUGAGAAUUCUUGCUCGGCCAUCGUUGGCACCAUAGACCGUCUCAAAUGGCGUAGGGCAGAGCUCACCAAGGAGAUGGAGCAGGUCAUGAAGGCCAUCGCCACUAAAGAGAAGAAGCUCCACGGUCUUCCGGCCAUCAUCGCCGAUUUGAAGCAGGAGAGGCAAACUCCUGGCCACGAGGCCAUCCGACUUCAUCGCAACAUGCUAGAGGUCCCUGGAUCGGCAGAAGAUGACCAACAGGUACUAGACUCAGCAGACCAGAUCCGCCAGCGGGUGAUUGUAGCCAUUAAUACUCUCCUUGAGUGAAUGUAUCAAACAUUGAAUCGUCCUUAGAACGCUUUUGUACGAACAUUUAAUGCCCUAUUGCCGUUGCUGUGCGAAUACAAACUUGAACAUUUCCCCUUCGCAGCAUUUUAACCCAACGGUCAUUUGCUUUGAAUGGAUGCCUUUACUAACCGUUGCCCCUCUAUUUUCCUCCUAUAAUAUGAGGUCUCCGCGUAUCUCCCAGAGGCACUCGCAUCUCAUCCAUCCUUCUACCCCUUGCUUGACCAUUUUCAGAUCCCCAACCGGGCGCCGAGAUGUCUUCCUCUUCCUCUGUCAAUUAGGUACGAAGUCACCCUUGCGCUCCUUGACCAAUUCUUUUUGAUGACUGAUUGCCCACUGUUUUUCCAGCCAACCCGGCUCAGCCCUGAUCUCGAGCGGGCUAUCGAGAUUAUGCACUCCAAGGAACCACUAACGCAGGCGGACAAAGACUUGAUCGAAACCCACCGUGAGGAACUUAAAGACCAUCUUCCAGCUCACAUCGAGAAGAUUGUGGAUCACAUCGAAGCCAACAACUCUAGGAAACCACCUCAACCGCCAAUUGAGAGGAGCCACCAGCUGCCUCACCAGGUCGCUCUCGAAGAUGCCAUGGUGGACAUGGAGGAGAAGAGCACCCGUCUCCUAAUCCAACUAGGCCGGAUUCAAAGAGACAUUGACGCAAGCAAAGCCUAGUUGAAACACCAUUAACCACAUUGUAGUAUGUUGGUACUUUUAUUCUAAGGGCGACUUGUACCAUGUCGGUCAUGUACCCAAACAAUGUACCAAAUAAUAAUCGACCUGUUUGAGUGGAGAUUUUUCUUGUUUUUUCGUCCUCAAGGUGAUGUCCCCUUGCAUCGGCUAUGCAAACACGAGUCAAUAGGAAUCGGCCGCAAGGGCUCGAUACGCUAACUCAUCAGCUAGGCAUCUACCCAUAUGCUGGGAUAGUAUCUCUUUAAAUAUCUUCCAUUCAAAGCCCAUGUAAAUUCUUCUCCUUCGAUAGUCUCCAAUAUGUACGCAUUUCCUGGUGCGAACUAACUGAUCUAUAUGGCCCUUCCCAAGUAGGCGACCACUUACCGUAUUUGGGAUCCUUAGAUCAUAUCGGCAGGACCAAUUUCCAUACCAAAUCCCCUUGGGAGAACUGCUUGAUCUUAACCUUCUUGUUAUACCACCUGGUGACUCUUUUCUUAUUCUCCUCAAUACUGAUCAAAGCCCUCAAUCGCUGACCCGCCAAAUCGUCCAACUCCCCUUUCAUGAGGAGAGAAUAAUCGUCGGCUGCCAACUGAUCUUGAAGUGACAUGCGUCUAGACCCAGUUCUCAAUUCCCAAGGUAGCACCGCCUCAUGUCCAUACACUAAUUGGUAAGGAGAUACUUUGGUAGCAUCGUGGCAGGCUAUCCUAUACUCCCACAAAGACUCGCUCAAAGUCGCGUGCCCUCUCCUUGGUUGCUCCUCUAUCUUCCUCUUGAUCAACUUGAUUAUCCCUUUAUUGGACGAUUCAGCCUAACCAUUAGCCUGAGCAUAACACGGAGAAGAAUUUAACAAUUUAAUUCCCAUGUCGGCAGUGAACUCCUCAAACUCUCCUGAAGUAAACAUUGUUCCCUGAUCAAUUGUAAUGGUCUGAGGAAUAACAAACCGAUAGGCAAUGUGCCUUUACAAAUUCAAUCAUGACGACCGAUGUCACGGUUUUCAGAGGGACUGCCUCCACCCAUUUGGUGAAGUAGUCAGUAGCCACCAAUAUAAACUUGUUCCCUUUGCUUGAUGGAGGAUAAAUCUGUCCGAUAAGAUUGAUUCCCCAACCUCUGAACGACCACGGCUUAAUUAUUGGGUUCAUAGCUGAAGCUGGUGCUCGUUGCACGUUGCCGAAUCUCUAACAAUCCUGACACCCCUUAUAAUAUUUAAAGCGAUCUUCGAGAAUCAUCAGCCAAUAAUAACCAUUGUUUCGAAUCAUCCACUUCAUCUUGUAGGCCGAUUGAUGGGCCCCGCAUACGCUUUCGUGAAUUUCUCCGAUCAGAAUCUUUGCCUCUUCUAACCCAAGGCAUUUGAGUAGCACUCCAUCAAUCGUCCGAAAAAACAAGUCAUCUUUAAGUAGUACAUAUUUUGUAGCCUGAAAAUAUACUCGCCGAUCAACUUUCUUGGAUGGAUCUUUUAAGUAAUCGGCAAUCUCCUUCCUCCAAUCGUCGGCCGCAAGCUCCAGAGUCAUGGCCCCUUGAAUCAGCCGAUACCCAGAAGCAUGUUGGGCAAGCCUAUUGGCUUCUUUGUUGUAACCCCUGGGAAUAUGCUCAAUAAUUGCAGACUUGAACUCAUUCAGUAACUAGAGACAAUCUUCAUAGUAGAUCCUCAAGAUAUCAUCCUUGCAUUCAGACUUCCCGGUUAAUUGAUCCACAAUGAGGAUGGAAUCCCCAAAAAUUUCCACCGCAUCGGCUUUGACCUCCCUCAAUAAUUGAAUCCAUUUUCGAACAGCUCGGUAUUCCGCUUGAUUAUUAGUGGCGGAUGCUUCAAUUGGCAGAGAGAAAUCAUAACUCGCCCCCCGAGGCGAUAUGAGGAUGAUGUCGAUUCCUGAUCCAGCCCCACACGAAGACCCAUUGAAGCAUAGUGUCCACGACGCUGGCUCGACGACGGCAAACUCUGAUCCACAGUGCUAGGCCACGAAAUCAGCCAUUACUUGCCCCUUGAUAGACUUGGCUGAUUCGUACCUUAGGUCGAAUUCUGAGAGGGCCAGAAUCCAUUUUCCAAUUCUCCCUUUCAAAAUCGGUAGUGAUAACAUAUAUUUGACAACAUCGUCUUCGCAUACAACCAGGCACUCCGCCGAUAGCAGGUAGUGCCUGAGUUUGGUACAAGAAAAAUAUAAACAAAGGCACAGCCGCUCCACCGAAGGAUAUCUGGUUUCAGCAUCCAGAAGUCUUCUGCUGACGUAAUAGAUUACUCUUUCUUUCCCCUCGAACUCCCGGACCAGCGCCGAUCCAAUAGCUCGUUCAUCAGCCGAUAGGUACAGUCUGAAUGGCUUAUCAGCCUGCGGAGGGACCAAUACCAGGGGUGAGACUAAGUACUAAUUAAUGUUGUCCAACGCUUUGUGUUGUUCUUCACCCCAGACAAAUUCUUGGUCGGGCUUCAAUUUCAACAAAGGGGUGAAAGCUUGAAUACGCUCAGACAAGUUAGAUAUGAACCGCCAGAUGAAGUUGACUUUGCCGAUUAAGGACUGUAGCUCGAUCUUGUCUUGUGGGGCCACAACCUUGUUGAUGGCAGCUAUAAUCUUCUGAUUGAUCUCGUUGCUGUGCUCGUGGACCAUGAAACCCAGAAAUUGACCAGCCGAAACACUGAAGGCACAUUUGUUAGGAUUCAUUUUCAACCCAUGCUUCCUUGUGCAUUCCAACAGUUUCCGCAAAUUGGCCAGAUGCUCUUGAUGCCCCUUUGACUUGACCACAACAUCAUCAAUGUAGAUCUCCACUAGGACCCCAAUAAGCUUAUGGAAUAUAUAAUUCAUGGCCAAUUGAUAUGUAGCUCCAGCAUUUUUCAAACCGAAAGUCAUCACCACCCACUCAAACAAACCGAGAUGGCCUGGACAUCUGAAGGCCGUCUUUGAGAUAUCUUCUUUGGCCAUUAAUAUUUGAUUAUACCCAGCAUUACCAUCCAUAAAGCUGAUGACUUUGUGUCCCGCGGCCACGUCUAUUAAAACAUCAGCCGUUACCAUCCAUAAAGCUGAUGACUUUGUGUCCCGCGGCCACGUCUAUUAAAACAUCAGCCGUUGGCAUCAGAUAUCCAUCCAUCGGAGUAGAUUGAUUAAGAUUCCUGAAGUCAAUGCACAUGCGUAACUUUCCAUUUUUCUUGUAUACGGGCAUAAUAUCGGAAAUCCACUCGGCAUAGCGACACUGCCGAAUAAACCCUGCUAAUCAAUCUUGUAAUCUCGACCUUUAUAUCAGGUAGAAUUUUAGGGUUACACCGUCAUGCAGGCUGCUGAUAUGGCUGAUACCCUAAUUUUAUAGGCAAUCGGUGUUCAAUAAUGGACCGGUCUAGACCAGACAUCUCAUGGUACUCCCAAGCAAAACAAUCUUUAAAUUCUUUUAACAAACUUGUUAACUCACGCUUAUACUCGGGGUCUAACUUAGCACUGAUAUACGUCGGCCUCGGCUUGCUGCCGUCCCCAAGGUCCACCAUCUCUAGUGAAUCGGCCAACAUAAACCCAUGCCCAAGCUUCCCAUCUUCUUAGAUGAACUGAUCCAUUUAAUUUUAUUCUUCAGAGCCGACUGUGUGGAUCAGCUGUAGACCAAAAUUGGACACCUUCAGGAAAUCAGUGUCCCAAGUUUUGCCAGAUAUGCAUCUGACGUGUUCGCAGCUCCACUAUUGCGCGUCGACCGCGGCAACGCUGUAGACAAAAUCGGCGGUGACUACUUUGAUGGUGUCGCCGACCCAUUGGACGAGGCAUUGGUGCAUUGUAGACGGGAUGCAGCAGUUCGCAUGGAUCCAAUCCCGCCCAAGCAACAUAUUGUAGGACCCUUUGCCAUUAAUAACAAAGAAAGUAGUGGGUAGGGUCUUACUUCCGAUGGUGAGGUCGACAUAGAGUGCCCCCGGGCUGGAGAUACGUUGCCUUCGAAAUCCUUGAGCAUCAUGUCCGUCUUGGUUAGAUCUUCUUCUCCUUUACCCAGCUUGCAGAACAUGGCAUACGGCAUGAUGUUCACAGCAGCGCCCCCAUCCACUAGCAUCUUAGCGACCGGUCAUCCAUUGACGUGUCCUUUAAGGAACAGAGCCUUGAGAUGCAGGCAUUUUUCAUCUUUGGGUUUCUCAAAAGUGGCAGUCAUUGGCUCCAAAGCCAACUGUGCCAUCUGUUCCUCUAUCCCUGCCGCGUCGACUCAGUCGGAGGGAACCAUGAACUCUAUCGGCAAGAUGAACACCAUGCUGACGUUAGCUGCCGAAUCAUGAUCGUUGUCUCCUUCGCCGGUUUUUCUUCUGGGGCACCAAACUCGAGACCUAUCCCCUUUCUUAUCCACCCCUUGCCUUUGUUCCUCUUCUCGCUGCUCCCAUUGGCAUAAAUGCUGGACUCUCCAUUUCUGGGACUUAGUUAAACCGUAUGGGCACCAUCUGGGGUUUACUGGCUUGCUAGGCGGUUUUGCACGCUCCUAGUCUGGCUCUCGCCCCAGGGGGGUUCUCAUCUGAGACUCUUGCGUCAGCCAUCUCUCCCAGUCGAUCAUGUGCACUGGUCCUGCCCCCCAGCCGAUUACGCUGGUCAACUCUACCCCCAGCUGAUCUCCUUGCUCGUGCCUGUUUCUGCUAAUUGGCUCUAGUCCUCGAUCCCUAGAGCAUGAUCUCUUGAAUGGGCAGCUGGUACGAUACUGACCGUUGCACUUAGGGCAGUUAUCGACCAACGGUAAUCUAAGGUUACUUUCCCAGCAGUGAAUGAAAAAUGGGCACCUCCAGUGGUCCUUGUGUUGGCACAUCAUCUCCGCGUGACGUCUUGAGUCCUCCUACUACCGCUGGUAUUUGCUGAGUAAGUCUUGGGAGGUGACCAGUCGAUGUGGUCUUUCUGAUCCUUCGCCUUCGGUUUCCAUCUGUCCUUUUCCUUUGACAUCCUCGGUUGAGGCCUGAUUUCUGGGAUCGACGGCGCCGCUCCUUCUGGCCGAUUCUGACGUCAGCACCUUGGUUUGGAGUGCGUUUUUUCCCACGUCAACCAUGUUUGCAGGGAAGAGGUGUUGAUCGAUCUUCAUUGGCUUUGCUGGCUUCACCGAGACUUCAAACUUUAGUCUUCCUUGCUCAAUGGCUGACUGUAUUUGUUGAUAGAAGAUCUUGCACUCGUUGGUGUCAUGAGAUGUGGCAUUGUGCACUUGCAAUAUUUCAUCUUUUUGAGCUGCUCGGCCGACGGAAUCCUAUGGUAAGGUGAGAGUUUGAUCUGUCUCUCCUAAAGUAGCAAGUCAAAGAUUUUCUCGGCCUUGGACGUGUCGAAGCCAAAUGUCUCCGGUUCCUUUUUGCCGAACGGGCACGAUAUUAGCUUUUUCCCUUUUACCCAUUCCGCCAGGCCGAUUUCUACCUCUUCUUCCAAUUCGGACCCUUCCACAUACGCCACUUUCUUCUGGAAAUUUCUUCAUUGGUCGGAGGGGUGCACUUCCUGGCUGGAUAGCCGGUGAACGAUUUGGCUCAAGCUCUCGAACUCUUGGGAAGCGUAUUUCUCCUUGAUGUGUGGCAGGAGUCCUUGGAAAGCGAUAUCGGUGAACUGCACGUUGGUCAAGACCAGGGUGUAGCACUUGUUCCUGACUUCCCUGAAUCUUUGUAUGUAGCUGGUUACUGAUUCAUCGCUUCUUUGCAUGAGGCUGGUCAGAUCUGAGAGUUUCAUCUCGUGGACCCCUGCAUAGAAGUAUUUAUGGAAUUCCUUUUCCAAAUCGGCCCAGGUAACGAUGGAGUUGGGCGUUAGUGUAGUGAACCAUUGGAAGGCUGAUCCGGACAGGGAUGAUGAGAACAGGCGCACCCUCAGAGCAUCUUGUGUAGCAGCCUCCCCGCACUGGAUGAUGAACAUAUUAACGUGCUCCACCAUCGAUGUGUCGUCCAGGCCCGAGAACUUGGUGAAGUCAAGGACUUUGUACCGAUUAGGGAAUGGCAACAGGUCGUAAGUAGGCAGAUACGGCAUCCUGUACGUGUAAGUCUGCACUUUUGGUUUCAAACCGAACUGAUCUUGAAUUAUGUCCGCAAUCCUUGCGGUCUAGUCCACCUGCUGCUGAUGCUGCUCCUGCUGAUUCACGACCGGCUGAGGAACCGGCACGUGCUGUUGGACUUGCGGUACCACGAUCGGGUGAUAGACUGGAGCAUGCUGCAGAUCUUGUGGCUGGGCAGUCGGCUGAGGAGCCGAUGGCUGCUACCGUAGUGCAUCUGUUGCCUCAUCAUACAAUAUUAUCGGCGCCGCAAUUCUGAGUGGUUCCGGAGCACCUGCCCCCCUGCCGAUUUCUGAAGUGGUCUGCUGGUAUUGCGAGGCUUUCAGCCGAGAGGCUGAUGGGAACGAUGCCUGAACUGGAGAUCUCCCAUAACUAGUGGAUGGGUCCAGAUCAGCAGAUGUCGCCAUUGCUCCCCAUGGUACCGAGCUUGAAAACGGCGAUUGUACCGGGGGAAUUGGUGCAGGAUGAAACGACGCUUGUGAUUGAUAGAGCGUUGCACCGUUAUAUCCCAGGGGCAUUGAAGUAUUGUACCCUCCACUUUGCAUCUGCAUCGGCUGAGGAGCCGAGUAAGACGUAUUUGGCACCAUUGAGAAGCUCCUGAUUGGUGCCACGGUAGGAGGGGCAUAAGCUGGUCCCUGAUACCCCUGAGCUGCGCUGUUGACCAUGGAACUAAUGACGGCGUUGUACACAGUGUUGGUCAUCACCUUGGACUGGUCGAUCAUAGCCUGAUAAACAGACUGCUGGAUCAUCUCAGACAUCUUUCCUGAGUCCUCGGUGACGGUGAUAUGGCGGGAAGUCGGAAGAGGAGCUUUCUUGACAGUCUCCCCGCUUCUGGUAUGACUAAAGGAUUGUAGGCAUGUCUUCCUAUAUUCUUCUAAAGCCCAUGCCACUUCCUCCUUCUGGUUGUCCUUGAGAUCUGCUUCAGUCACUUCAAUGAUGUUAUCUUCAGAGAUCUCAGCAGCCUUUGACAUGUUGGAUCCUGCUUCGGUCCCACUAGGCGUGCCAAAAGCGUGUUGGCGCUAAAAAUCAAACCAUGACCCUUAGCGUCGGACACAUGACCCGGGAGAAUCUGCUUAACUCCUGUUCGGGUUAUUGCCCUGGUGCAGUUCGCGCAGUAUGCCAGUCAAUCUGACCUAUUGAUUAACGAGGAAAGAAAAGUAUUAAAUUCUAGGGGCUUCGAUCGGCUAAAUUUCCGAUCUGUCUUGAAGAGCGUAUUAGUGAAUCGGCCGAUUUACUAUAGAGAUGACCGGCUAUAAACAGCUGAUAUCCGUGUAGCAAUUGUGAGGAAAACAACUAGAGCAACCUAGACAACACUACAAAGGCAAUAGUUGGAAUAGAUCUAAUUGGCUAUUGUGAUGAUAAAGAAAAAUAAUAACGAAAAGCCGACAAUUCGUGUCUCAAGCUGGAUAACUGGUGAUAAAACUAGAGCAAUAAAUAAAACCUAUAAUUCUAGUUAAUAUUGAUAACUGGUGAAUAAAUCUAAACGAAACAACAGCGAUGCGCCCAAAGUUAAAGAUUAGAUAUUACUCGAUAAGCGGAACUUACAGAUUUUCCAGAGAUCGUGUUGAUGCAACCCUGCCAACUCGUACGAACUAGUGAAAAGAAAAGGUUUUGGCGAAGUCGCCGACUUGAAAGUAAAGUACGAGGAAAGAGUAGAUUUGUUGUAUUGAUUGAUUGAUGUUUACAAGCCUCACGAGGUAGCUAUUGAUACCCUGUUGCAACCAAUCUGUUAACCGACUAGGAUCUAUCUCUAAUUUUAAACGAUAACAAAUAUUUACAAACACAACUCAUAUCAGAGUUGGUUACUAUCUCCCCACGGGCCAAUCUCAUUUUUUCAGCUAAUCUUCAUCUUGGCCCACCUCAGGCCCAUACCGGCCAAGCCAUCCCGACUCCCAAUCGGCCAGCCUCUAUCAACUCCCUCUGCCAGUUGGCCGAAACACUGUAGCUUUAAUCGGUCGAUUCCCAACUGCAGCUUCUAGCCGCUGCACCGGCCGCCUUUCUUCUUCUUUGAUGCCGAUUCCAAACACAUGUCAAAAUCCGGCAUCAAAACUGAGUAUAUAUAAAAGAGGGCAGGGGUACCUAGAUUGGUAGCUUGGAGCAUUAGACCAACAGAGCUUAGAACCAUCAUCAAAUAGCCAACAACUAGGCUACACAACACCCAAGCGCGAGCCAUCGGCGAUGCAGAGCCAGGAUCCAAAAACGAAGGUGGCGCCCGCUUCGAUGAAGAAGACGGGCUUGACAAUGACCGUUGCCAUUGAGUUCGCACUGAGAAACUCGACGAGUUCCCCUACCUGGCGCGCUAGCUGUCGGUGUUUUAGAUUGGCAACCCGCCUAGGGGGUACCCUAGGUGGUCUUUUAUGCAGUAAGGAUCGUCGAGAAUCAAGGAAUCAAUGGUGACGCAAGGAACACGAUUUAGAUAGGUUCGGGCUGCUAGAUCGCGUAAUACCCUACGUCCUGUGUGUUGGUUUGUAUUGAUUUUGGAUGAACUGGAGUUGUCCUUGAGGGGGGUCCCUGCCCGCCCUUAUAUACACGGAAGGGCAGGGUUACAAGUCUGAGUCCUAAUCGAGUAUUAUUACAGAGUUCUACUCGGUAUGGCCCGAGUAGUUUUCCAUACACAUACUUGACUAGUCCAAGUGGGAUAUGCCUAUCCCUUGUCCUGAUCGUGUCCGAGUACGCCCCUCAGUGGGCCGUCCAAGGUCUACUUGUGGGCCUGGGGUGCAUGCCCGACAAGCCCCCGAGUACUUUAUAGUCGUGCGCCACAGUCUUGGGCACUGUGGGCAUUAUCCGAGUAGUUCAUCGUAGAGGUUGCGGACCGAAGUGCUCGAGUAUUGUCGCGCGGCUGGAAGGUACUCUUCUUGUUCCUUCGAGUUGUUUCUGUUCCGGGAAUUUUUAUAUGGUAGUGCGAUGUCAAUCGCACUCCAUAUAGAGUAGCCCCCGAGCCUUAGGUUGAGUUGAAGAGUCAGGCUUAGGGUCAAUCCUGCCUUUUGUCUAUUUUACCCAUGGAAAUCUUGAAAAAGAAAAAACUGACCAUCGGGUACGGUACCCACAGCCCCCGAGCACUUAGGCAAGUUCUGUCGUUGAAGUGGUCAGAAACCCAUUGAAAAGAGUAGCCGUUGGGUGUUUAAGGCAAUUAAUCUGCUUAAAAUCCGUCCGUUGCGUAACUGACGCUUGGAAUCUGGAGGUGGCAGAGAUAAAACUGGAGGGCCCCCUUUCGGUUAGGUUUACCCCCUGCAGUAAUCAGAUCUAUUUUUCUUCCUCCCCUGCGCUUCUGCUCCGCGUUUGUGCCAUCACAAUUGCCAAGCACAACCGCCGCCAUUGCUCCCCCUUGAGAGAGAUCCGAGAGUGAGUGCGUUUUGCUGAGGUUCAAAUCGGCGGAUGCGUACCAAGAAGAUGGGCAAGAGACCCGAGAAGAUCCAGGGCAAGGCUCCGGCUGUGGGCAAGGCUCCGGCGACGGGCAAGGCUCCGGCGAUGGGCAAGGUGAAGUCCAAGAAAGGGAAGGAACUGGUGCUGCCGGCGCCGAAGGUGGGGUCGACGAAUCAGACUGCACCGCUACUGCCUGGAGUGACAUGGCAGCAUUCGGUGAUGAAGGAGGAGGCCGUGCAAGCACUAGUCGAUGCCAAGCUUCUGCAGCCGAAGGAAAUACUCGAGUGGCGCCCAGCAUUUCCAAAUGCGUGGCAAUUUGAGGAACAUCCAGGCGAGAUAGUGAUGCUCGCACACUUUGUGGAGAGGGGGUUGGCGGUGCCCACCUCCGACUUCUUCAAAGGUAUCCUCGAGUACUAUAAGCUUCAACAUGUUCAUUUGAACCCCAAUGGUGUACUGCAUAUGUCCAUUUUCGUACACCUCUGCGAAGUUUAUUUGGGAGUUCCUCCAAGUCUCGAGUUGUUUAGGAAGUUGUUCCGCUGUAAGCCGCAGCCAAGUGCACAAAGGACAGAAGUCUUUGGAGGCGUCGGGUUCCAACUUAGGAACUCGGGUGCAUAUAUUGAGUAUAAUUUGACUGACUCCCAUGGGGAGUGGAAGAAAAGGUGGUUCUACAUCGGGAACCAUGAUCCUCGCUUGCCUGUGGCGAUUGGUCACGCGCACAAGCAUGCAGAAAACUGGGUGAGCGAACCUGAAGACACCCCAGAGCUUGACCACUUGAUGCAACAGAUUACCGAGUUGAAGGCACUCGGUCUUACUGGGAUAAAUGUGGCAGCUAGUUUUUUGAAGAGAAGAGUCCAGCCGCUUCAGAAAUGUGCUCACUCGGGGAGUCAGUACACAGGUCUUAAUGAUCCAUCGCAUAUGUCUGAUGAGGAUAUAUCCGAUGAUGAUGUAGAGGCAUUGCUGGCUAAGUUCUUCAGGAACUAUCAGGGAGUACCAGUGAUCCCUGCCGCUCUUCGGCAGUAUGAUGCCUGGUAUGAGCCAGAAGUGGUAUGUUCUGGCGCUUGACUUGUACUUUUUGACUUGUUGUGAUAUUUGUUUAAUAUCGACUUGUUGUCUUGUAGUCUCGAGUUCUUGCCGGCUACUUAACAUAGUCGGAAGAAGAGGAGACUGUUGUCAAGGAGUCAGAGGACGAGCCCUCUCCUCCUACGAAGAAACGCAGAGUAGUCCGCAAAAUGUCUGCGGCUAAGUCUGCUUCAACCCUUGAGAAGUCUCGGGGUACCAAGGUAUGUAGUCGUGUACUCAAUUGUAGCUGAUGAAGUUGAGCUUGCAAUCAUUGUGACUACUUUGUCUUGUUCAAAAAGGUUGUUGAUACGGCACUUGGUGAUGAUGAGGCUGCUUCUGAAGAAGUAGUCGUGACCGACCCUGACGUCGGUAAUGCAUCUGUUGAUAUGGUGCCAAAGAGGGUGCCAGCGACAGAAGCUGAAGUAGCCCCCGAGCUGACCGCACAGGCUCCGUCGGCUACCACACUGCCAGUUACUGACCAGGCAGUUCUGGGGUUGCCCGCCGGAGUAGCGGGUAUUGCAAAGGAGGUGUCGCCAGUAGUCGCUACUGGAUCCUUGUUGUCUAGUGUAAUCGCCAGUGGUAAGCUUUAUGUCCCGACUAAUUUCGUUUGUCCAAGUGGUAUUGUAGUCUUAACUUCUGCUUCCCAGGUUUUGGCGAGAGGACAGCGCCGUCAGCUGUUCCUGCGACGCCGAGUACUCGGUCGCUUAUCACCGAGAAGAAACAUGUGCGAUUUCUGCCAUGCUCAACCCGGUGAGCUUGCUUGUCCAUUGUAUAGCUUUAAGUUGUCUUGAAGUCGUAUAAUGACAUAUUUUGAUGCAGAGAUGCAGAAGAAACUAUCCCUAUAGAGACAAGGGUAGAGUCGGAUCCCCCGACUACAUUAUCUGCUCCCUUGGAGGAUUUAAUUGUUGAGGAGGUACCCGAAGUCGAUGCCGGUCGCCUUGGAGCUACUAUGUCUAUGCUCCAAGAUGUCAUCCGUUUGGUGGAAGUUCCUGCCGCCGCGUCGGGUUCAGGAAGUGCUGCCUUAUCAACAUCCACUGGCAGAUCUCUGGCUGUAGUUGGUGUGGAAAAAUCCAAAGAGGCAACUGCUCUAGGUAUGUUUCUGUAGUCCUAUUAUUGUAGUCGUAGCAGGCAUGUGACUGAUGAUAAAUGUUGUAGGUGCCACUUUGGGUGCAACUCCUCAUCUUGCGAAGAGUACUCAAAGACCAGUGCUCAGCCUACCAUCUGACUCGGAGUUCUAGAGGGCCGUCGAUGUUUUCCGGAGCUUCCAGGUGAAUUUCCUUUGCGUUGUCACAUAGAUCGAGUAAUUGUGAGGCUUUUAACUGAUUGUAUUGCCUUGCAUACUCGGACCCGUCAGGAACGAAGUCAUCAAUUGGAGCAGGAAUGUGCUCGACUGAUAGAAGCCUUAAGGGUUCACGAGGUUGGAGGGAAGUCUUUUGCUGUGGAACAGUCGGAUCACGAAGUCCUGCAGCAAAAACUAGAGACCCGCUACAAGUCUCUGAACAAAAAGUAUCAAGGUGAGUACUUUGCAUACUCCGAGCAUGUCCGAUUGUAGUACGCUAUGGUUGAACUUGUUUGUCUUGUAGAGCUCAAGAGGCAAGAGGCGGCAGCAAGGAGCCAAGUCCUCGACUGGAGAAACGCACACGAUCGAGUGGCGGAUGAAGCUGAACGUCUUCGAGCCAUGCUGAUGGAAGCACAGGCUGCUUGCGAGCAUCAGCGGGACAGGAAGAUGCAGAAUGGCGUGAUGCUUGCCAUGGCCAUGGUGGCAUGCAGAGAUCAUGCCCAGACCAUGGGAAGACUCCGAGGUGAACUCCAGAAGUUGACUAUAGCAGCUGAAGACUUGGUGAACGCCAUAGCCCCCGUGGAAGAGGGCGCAGGGCCUCAAUCAUUAGUUGAGCAAUUGAAGGCUGCCCCGAGUAAAGUGGCAGGACUCUGUAAAGCUGUUUGUAAACAGGUCCUUGCCGUUGUGAAGUCCUACUACCCGAGGGCGGACUUGGCGGCUGCUGGUGACGGCGUGGCUCACAACUGCACAGAAGAAGCAUAUGCGCAGUACCUUGAGGAGGCAGAGCCUAUCGCGUCGAAAAUGUCAGAGUUUGUCUCUCCAGAAGAGCCUUGAGCGUUUUAUGUACUCUUGAAACUGUUUCGAGUACUUUGAACAAUACUGUGACAAAUAAAUGCUGGCCCAUUGUUUUGUUGCUUGAAGUGGUUAUCUUGCAAAGAGUAGUUGUAGUCCAUCUCGCCCGAAUUGAAGUGGCUAGAUCAGCGAAGCCCAACCCCUAAAGUGGGGAACUCUGCUUUGCCCAAUCCUGGGUUCCAGGGUCGGGUGCGGCUGACCCCUUGAGGGAAAGAACUCCGCCUCGCCCAACCCUGGGUUCCAGGGUCGGGUGCAGCCGACCCCUUGAGGGAAAGAACUUCGCCUCGCCCGACCCUGGGUUCCAGGGUCGGGUGCGGCCGACCCGUGAAUAGAGGGUCGGAUCCUGCCAAGCCCCCAAGAUGUGGGCCGUGCCUGGCUAGAGUAAUUCUGAGUUUCGAGUAGUCGCAAUGCUGUCGAGUACUCUGCUUUUGAGGGGCACGGGUGUACUGUACUCUUUUGUCCUUUGUGGAUGCACGGGUGUACUAUACUCUUUUGUCCUUUGUAGCAUAAGUGCCAUCACGUGGGUAGAGUCAGAAGUCAUCAGACUCAUUGAUCACGGGCGCACAGUAACUCUUUGGUACAUGGUAGUUGCAGCUCUCGGAUAUAAAUAGAUCCAUCUGGAUGUCGACCCAAACCAAGUUUCUGAGUAGCAAUGGAUUGCCUUCGGUUGCUUUUGUUUGAGUGUAGAGAGCCAUCAAAGAGUGCACCGGUGCUAGAAGAUUCCUCAUAGAUUGAGGCCACCUUCCCUUCACAGACUCCUAUGCUCGUAGGGAUAACCGCGAUGCUAGAAGAAUCCUCGUAGGAGGUUUCAUCGCGCGCCUCAUCUUGCAGCUCGUGAUCCAGUGGAGUACGCACUGGAACUCGCGGGUGAUAGGUGAUGAGUGUCGCGGUCUUUAUCCCGCUCUCUUAGAGGUGGAGGUGUGGCCGUAGAGUGGAUUGGCUCGGCAAGGCUAGCAAAAGAGCAGCCUUGGUUCCCUCUAGGCGUGUCGCGCGGGAUUCAUCGUGGCCGCUGUCAAGGCAGUGGCGAUGCAGGAGUUCUUGGCGUUGCCUUGGGCAGAGGACUUGGAUAUGGCUGCGUUUUGCGCAGCUUCCUUGCGUGUAGGCCCAUCCUGUUGUAGUCGGCAGACCUGAGUGGCCUUGGGAUAUAGUAAAAGCCUGAGGCUUAAAUGCAGCCCGCCAGUAGGCUAUUGCUUGUAGUCUUUGUGUAUUUCGAGUACUUAUACUCGUAUGUAACUUGAUGAUGUAUCUUCGGUUCUGAGUAAAGAAUUACUUUACGGAAUUUUUGUACCAGGGCAAUGAUCCUUGUUGAGUUGAUAAUUCUUGAGUCAAGACUAAUGUAUUUUGAAGUCGGUAAUCGAGCUGAUAGCUCAAGUAGUCAUCAUGAGUUGUUGCCUUGAAGCAAGUACUCGGAUGCUGCUAUGGGUAAUAACGACAAAGGUGUUCUAUAUUCCAAGAGUUUGGUACUUGUUCUCCUGAAAGCUCUUGGAGUCUAUAAGAUCCAGGUCCCAUAACCUUUGAUACGGUGUAAGGACCUUCCCAUGGUGAAUUUAGUUUAUGCAACCCCGUUGAUUCCUGGAUUCGCUUGAGGACCAUAUCUCCCAAGUUGAAAGAUCGUUCCGUGACGUUGCGGUCGUGGUAACGGCUCAAGCCAUCAAGGUACCUGGCAGAUUGCACUAGCCAUCGGCGAUGCAGAGCCAGGAUCCGAAAACAAAGGUGGCGCCCACUUCGAUGAAGAAGACGGGCUUGACGAUGACCAUUGCCAUUGAGUUCGCGCUGAGAAACUCGACGAGUUCCCCUACCUGGCGUGCUAGCUGUCGGUGUUUUAGACCGGCAACCCGCCUAGGGGGUACCCUAGGUGGUCUUUUAUGCGGUAAGGAUCGUCGAGAAUCAAGGAAUCAAUGGUGAUGCUAGGAACACGAUUUAGACAGGUUCAGGCCGCUAGAUCGCGUAAUACCCUACGUGUUGGUUUGUAUUGAUCUUGGAUGAACUGGAGUUGUCCUUGAGGGGGGGUCCCUGCCCGCCCUUAUAUACAGGGAGGGCAGGGUUACAAGUCGGAGUCCUAAUCGAGUAUUAUUACAAAGUUCUACUUGGUAUGGCCCGAGUAGUUUUCCAUACACAUACUUGACUAGUCCGAGUGGGAUACGCCUAUCCCUUGUCCUGGUCGUGUCCGAGUACGCCCCUUAGUGGGCCAUCCAAGGUCUACUCGUGGGCCUAGGGUGCAUGCCCGACAGGGUGCAAUAUACAUCUCAAACAAGAUGUAGGGUAUUACGCUACUCUAGCGGCCCGAACCUGUAUAAAUCUAUGCCUUGUGUCCUUUCUUUUACCUUUGAGUUCCAGGUCCAAUGAUUCCUCACCAACAAAUCUACUACCUCGAGAUACCCCUUGGUAGGUUGCCAGGUAUAAAACACCGACAUCUGGUGCGCUAGGUAGGGGUGAUUGUUGAGAUCAUCAGGCGAGCUUGAAGGACCUCACAAUCAAGAUCAAUCUACUCGACAAGAAGCAAGUCACUGAGUUGGAGUUUCGAGCAGACAAAUCUAUGUCGAGAAAGAAUCAACGCACUCCACGUUCCAAUCAAAGACUGGAUCGAUUUCUACUACAGGGUGUUGCAUACAGCUCGUCGAUCAAGUCACGCAUAGAUUGAGGCAAAUAAUCAAGUCACCGACGACUAGUUUGACUACUCCUCUCAACUAUAAAACUAGUCGACGAUGGACUAAUUCGACUACUCAUCUCGACUAAAAAACUAGUCGAGGAUGGUCUACUUUGAAUACUCGUCUCGACUAUAAAACUAGUCGGGACAGGCAUCACACCAUCGACAAAUAAUCGGAAUCGACUCCGACUAGUCGGCUUCAUCAAUAAUCAACAUGGCUUCAUCGACAAUCGUCCACAAAUAAAGCUAAGUCACUUUUUUAAUUUAUUUUAUAUAAUUUUUCUGGCUUAUUUUCCGCAUGCAGGACAACGUGUUGAGUACUUUUUUAUGUAUGCCUCUCGAUGGAAAUUACCCUCCAGAGCUACACUUUGCCAACUAUUCCUGUGGCAUGUUGACCGACAGCCACGGGCUUAGUACACCGAAUUACGGAGGCUACGGCCAUGGUUUUGGUGCAUUGAGUUUUGGAGGCACCACCAUGGGUUUGGUACAUUGAAUUUUGGAGGCAAUAGACACAGAUUUGAUGCACUGAAUACUGGAGGCUCACAACAGCUACACCCUAAGGUGGCACAAAUCCUAUGCGCACAACACGCGCUCUCCUCACCAAAAGGCAAAUAAGUCUCAACGACUACUUUAAGCGCAAUCGCGCUCUCUUUUGUUGCAAUGCCGACUACUUAUGUCUUCUCUUAACGGUUGCCAAUAUCCUUGAGUAGAACAUGCCUCAAUUCAUGAUAGCCUCAGAUCUUCUGUCAUGCCUAAACGCUAGCACGCAUACAUGAGAUAAAAAGAUCUCAGACGUGCAAACAGCAGCGCCAGUACAUGUACAUGAGAUACAAAGAUCUCACACACGCAAUGGCAAUGGCUAAACAGGGAUUGAGAGCCUAAACGUAAUACGCUAACUGCUGGAGACAAAUAUGAUCGAAACAAGAGCAUGACAUACAAUAUUUACAUUCAUCACUGAAUAAAAAUUCAGUAGUUCCAAAUUCUAGAAAUAUGCUACAUAAUGUAUGCAUCUCUUUUUACAGGUCAAGCUUUGGGGACGACUCUCCAGGAUGCUCAACGUACCUCCAGUGGCUCAGAUAGCUCUCAAGCUCAGGGGAUAACCACCAAUUACUACUCGGAAUACCUCUAGUAGCUCAGCUAGCUUCCAAGCUUGGGGGCUAAGCGCCAAUAACUACUCGACUUGCCUCCUACGGCUCACUUGGUGCAUAAGCUCGAGGGCUGAAUGCCACAAGACUAAUCGGAUGAUGACUUGUGUGAAGACUAAAUACCCUCGGAUUGAUUAAUUAAUCAUUCCAAGCCUUGGGUGCUGAUAAGCUACACCCAACAGUUGAUUUUUUCAAGAUGAAAUAAAGAAGAUUCAAGAUUUUAUAUUGACCCUCAGCCUGAUUCUUUGAUUCAACCUAAGGCUCGGGGGCUACUCCAUAAGGAGUGCGACUUCCGCCGCUCUCCAUAUCACAUUCCAAAGAUGAAGAUUACGAAAUCAAAAUGACCAAGAGCUUGAGCACACCAUAGCCUCAUGGCAGCUUCGAGGAACUUUGAAGAUUCAGCCAAACAAAGUACUCGAAGAGCACCAAAACUACUCGGCGAGGAUCUGAAAAGUACUUGAAGACUGCUGCAUUUGACUAUGAAGUGCUCGGGGCUUGUCAAGGAUAGAUCCCUAGUACCCGCAAGGAAGGAAGAAGAUGGACUCCUACUACAAUUCCACUAUAAUCCUACUAGGACUCAUACCAUGAAUCCUACUAGGACUCCUCCUUGUAACCGACUAGUAAUCUUGCCCCCUGAGUAUAUAAAGGAGGGCAGGGCUACCUAGAUCGGUAGCUUAGAGCCUUAGACCAACAGAGCUCAGAACCAUCAUCAAUAGCCAAAAACAAGGCUACACAACAUCGAAGCGCAGGGCACAAUAUACAAUAGGUCAAACAGGAUAUACGCUCCCACAACAUCACGCACCGAGCUAGGCCGGCCUGAGCUCUCUGCUCUCGUGGCUGCACCCCUUUCACUCCCACUCCCUCCUCCCAAAUGCCACGGGCGAGCUACCCUCGCCCUCCUCUUUCUCAUGGUACCAAUAGUAAGGCCGGAGGUGGCCAGUGGCGCCGGAUUGGCGCCACUCUGGUGAGCCGUGAUGGCGCAAAUGGCUGCCAUGGCAGCGCCACCUGUCUCCGAUGGUGAAACGGUAUGCCCCGCUUCACCCCGUCACCCUCCAUCCACUUCCUCCUCCUACCGCGUGGACCCGAACUUGACGCUAUCGCUCCCUUCCAUCAACCCUCAUUGCCUCGCGACCCUCUGCCUUGUCCAGAUGGACCAAAGACUUAUGGGGCGGUGUCGUCCACUAGUGUUGGUAUAUUUAAUGAUCACAAAUAAAUACGCAAGUGCACGGAUAUACCAUUGUAACAUUUCACCCAAGAGUAUUCCCAAGGGUAUCGUAUUUCCUAAAGAAGGUGGGUAAGUCAAAAGAGUUUACUAUGCAUACGAGUAUAGCAUAGAUGGAUAGAGACAAUACUCACGGCAGGGGUGAGAUAGAUAGAUAGAUAGAUAGAUAGAUAGAUAGAUAGUGUGACACACAUGAAUCAUCUCAAGAUAACUAAGCUAGGGAGAAGGACUAAGAGUUAGCUCUAUGUUCAUAUGUACUUCCUAUAUACUGCAAAGAUCAUACAAGCAUAACAUACAUACACAGUUACUGCUAAUUUCUAAACUCCUAUAGCAUACCUAAAUGUGGGGGAUUACGAAGGACCAACAGGGUUGUCACCACCUGCAGCCUACCCCUAGCAACCCAUGGGGUAAACUUAUACCCAAUGAGGCUAAGCAAUCCAAGCACCAUGCUUGCAUUGUUAACAACACUCCAGCUGACUCGAGCUAUUGUGACAAGGGCUAAAUCCGCUAUAGAAAUGGCCAUCGAACCGAUGCCGUAGCAUAGAUUAACUAAGCUAUACAAGAUAUAUAUGCACAUAAAAUAUAACAUGUAGCAUGGUCUCAAGGCAUACAUGGACGUAUGUAAGCCUAUACUAUGAUAGCAAGGGUAUAUAUGUAACUCAUGCAUAUGAGAACCAAACACAACACUAUAUAAAGAUGUAUACUUUGAAUAGAAUAUAGUCAACCUAGGAAUAAAAGAUACAAGAGCCAUACCUUAGACUCCAAGGAGACUUGGAACCUGAAGUAGAGCUACUCUAGCCUAACUCCACUUACUUGGAAACUAAGAGGGAGAGAGUGAUUCACUAGUUGUGUGUGUCCUAGAAUAGAGCCCCUCCCCUCAUAUGUAUAGGCUCCAAGAGGUGGUUCUAGCAGGGGAUCUUUGGCGAAUAUCCCAUAACCGACGUAGGGGAGUCACCACCAGUCGCCACUUAGAAGCAGAUCAUGAGGGGGGAGGCAGUUUGACCAAUCCAAGGGUUCGGCCGUGUGGCGGAACCACCCAAAUUAACCUGACUAAAAUGCACUUAAGUCACCUGACAUGCGAUCAUGCACUUUAAGCAAGCCAACUUGGUCAUCCGUCGGAUUUCAUCCGAUAAACCACUUACUCAGGAUCGAGAAGCAUCGCUCACACGAAGGUGAGUGGGCACAGAGAUUACAACAAUCCCAUCACGUUAACAUAGUUCAACAAUUUAUUACAUUAGAGUUUUCGAAAUUCAAACAGAGUUUGCAAGGUUGUAAACAAUGAAGAAGUAAAACAAACGGAAGCUACACGACGACACACAAUACCAUGGUGAAGCCGACCAUGAUAUCAAUUUCCACGAUCCACGCUGUCUAAGGACGAUUUCCACUCGACCGUCCAACCUAGAGGGAGUUGGGUCAACCAAGUCAAACUGGCAACCAUUUCCUCGAAAUCACACUACCUGAAAACAUAGCCAGAAGCAAGGCUGAGUAUACUAAUACUCAACAAGACUAACCCGUCAGGUGGUAACUACUCCACCAACUCCUAGACAUGCAAGGCUUUUUGGCUGUGGGUUUGUUUUUGCCAAAAGAGACUAAAGUUGGUCCUUACUUUCAAUAUUUUAGCUCAGAUUCUAAGUUCAUUAACCAGUCUAAAUUAGCAACUUAUACUAAGCAAGCAUUGUUUCCAAACAAUUUAAGGGACAAGCAUCAAGAUUAAUAUCAUCAUCAUGUCCCAUCUUUACUCAAUGUGGAAUAGCGACCAAGCAGUCCCAAACUGUGAGAGGCAGACAAAUCGAUUCGAAUUUAUUAACCAUGCAUGGCGAACCUAAACCCACGACAUCCACGCACCACGAAGGGUUGCUUCACUUGUUAGCCGUCCCCAUCGAUCUCUUAGGCACGUGUCAGGUCCAAACUUCCUUUGGCAUGCAAGGCUCCAUCAUCCUGGUCUCUGCCAUACUAUGACCGCACUUGCAUCCACAUGAUGCACCAUGGGAACGACGUUCCAAGGACAGUAGGAAUAUAAGCCACGCCCCAGUUCAAUGAGGUACUAGGCUUCGUCAUCCCAUACUAGGUAUGAGAUUAGUAGUUUCAAACACUUGAUCAUGAACGCCGACGCGUUUUGACCUUAGCAAGUUCAUUACUAGACAGACGGGGCAAACCACCACAUCGAACCAUUCCCGGUCCCAUCUGUCAUCCUUAUAGUUGUAGUAUGAGUAACCAACAACUCCUAUAACUCGCGAGUGACAGGCAAUCACUCGACUUUUACCAAGUCCUAUUUAGCACAGCAACUACUCUACUUUAGCAGCUAGUGUUCAGAUUAAAGUUACUAAGUUUAUGCAUCUAAGGUUUCAAUCAACUCCUAUAAACGUAAAUGCACAAUCAUAAGCAUCAACAUAUUGCAUAAUUUAAAAAUAGGAAAACAUGCACCGGGGCUUGCCUUCAGGUUCAAAAAAA